UGUCAAGCUACAAAGGGCUCACGGUGAAUACCUUGGCACGUAGAGGCGAUGAAGGACGUGACUACCUGCGAUAAGUCUCGGGGAGCGGGAAGUAAGCUUUGAUCCGGGAAUUUCCGAAUGGGGCAACCCUGGGGUAACCCAACGGCUAGCUAAAUCCAUAGGCUAGUUCGAGUCAACCCAGCAAACUGAAACAUCUUAGUAGCUGGAGGAAAAGAAAGUAAAAACGACUCCCUUAGUAGCGGCGAGCGAAGCGGGAUCAGCCUAAACCAAUCAUUUCGAUGAUUGGGGUUGUGGGACAGCAACGUGGACCAGGAAUUCUAGAAGAAGCGUUUGAAUGACGCACCAUAGAGGGUGAUAGUCCCGUACUCGAAAGAUGAACUGGCCUAGCUGUAUCCCGAGUAGCACGGAGCACGUGAAAUUCCGUGUGAAUCUGCGAGGACCACCUCGUAAGGCUAAGUACUACUGCGUGACCGAUAGCGUACAGUACCGCGAGGGAAAGGUGAAAAGAACCCCAGGAGGGGAGUGAAACAGAACAUGAAACCGUGAGCCUACAAGCAAUGGGAGCCCGACUAAUCGGGUGACCGUGUGCCUGUUGAAGAAUGAGCCGGCGACUUAUAGGCACUGGCAGGUUAAGAGGAUAAUCUCGGAGCCACAGCGAAAGCGAGUCUGAAUAGGGCGAUAGUCAGUGUUUAUAGACCCGAACCCGGGUGAUCUAACCAUGGACAGGAUGAAGCUUGGGUGACACCAAGUGAAGGUCCGAACCGACUGAUGUUGAAAAAUCAGCGGAUGAGCUGUGGUUAGGGGUGAAAUGCCAAUCGAACCCGGAGCUAGCUGGUUCUCCCCGAAAUACAUUGAGGUGUAGCGUCUAGUGCUUAAGCAGAGGGGUAAAGCCACCGUUUCGGUGCGGGCUGCGAGAGCGGUACCAAAUCGAGACGAACUCUGAAUACUCUGUGUGUAACUAGGCAGUCAGACUGUGAGGGAUAAGCUUCAUGGUCAAGAGGGAAACAGCCCAGACCGCCAGCUAAGGUCCUUGAGUCACUACUAAGUGGUAAAGGAGGUAAGAUUGCAUAGACAACCAGGAGGUUUGCCUGGAAGCAGCCAUCCUCGAAGGAGUGCGUAAUAGCUCACUGGUCGAGCGAUCUUGCGCCGAAAAUGAACGGGACUAAGUAGUGUACCGAAGCUGCGGAUUCUUUGAAUGGUAGGGGAGCGUUCUAUGUGGAUUGAAGCGUUAGCGAAAGCGGACGUGGACUGCAUAGAAGUGAGAAUGUCGGCUUGAGUAGCGAAAACAUAGGUGAGAAUCCUAUGCCCCGAAACCCUAAGGGUUCCUCUGUCAAGCUCGUCUGCAGAGGGUUAGUCAGGACCUAAGGCGAGGCCGAAAGGCGUAGUCGAUGGAUAACAGGUCAACAUUCCUGUACUGGUUGCUGUUUGGGCAGGUGGACGGAGAAGGCUAAGCGAUCCGGAUGUUGGUUACCGGUUCAAACGUUCAAGGCUUUGAAGAGCGGUGAAAACGCUCUGAGCUAAGGCGUGAGUACGAGUUCUUACGAGAGCGAAGUCGCUGAUGUCAUGCUUCCUAGAAAAGACCUUAGUCCGUUAAGCAGCAGCUACCUGUACCCGAAACCGACACAGGUAGGGUAGUAGAGUAUACUAAGGGGCGCGAGUUAACUCUCUCUAAGGAACUCGGCAAAAUGGCCCCGUAACUUCGGGAGAAGGGGUGCCACCGUCAGGUGGCCGCAGUGAAGAGUCCCAGGCGACUGUUUACCAAAAACACAGGUCUCCGCUAAGUCGCAAGACAACGUAUGGGGGCUGACGCCUGCCCAGUGCCGGAAGGUUAAGGAAGCUGGUUAGCUUUGCGAAGCUAGCGACCGUAACUAUAACGGUCCUAAGGUAGCGAAAUUCCUUGUCGGGUAAGUUCCGACCCGCACGAAAGGCGUAACGAUCUGGGAGCUGUCUCGGAGAGAGGCUCGGCGAAAUAGAAUUGUCUGUGAAGAUGCGGACUACGUACACCCGGACAGAAAGACCCUAUGAAGCUUUACUGUAGCUAGGUAUUGUGCUCGGGCCUUGAAUGCGCAGGAUAGGUGGGAGGCUUUGAUCUAUUCCUUGUGGGGGAUAGUGAGCCAUUGGUGAGAUACCACUCUUUCAGGGCUAGAGUUCUAACUGUUGCCCGUCAUCCGGGAACAGGACAUUAUCUGGUGGGCAGUUUGACUGGGGCGGUCGCCUCCUAAAAGGUAACGGAGGCGCGCAAAGGUUCCCUCAAGCUGGUUGGAAAUCAGUUGACGAGUGCAAAGGCAAAAGGGAGCUUGACUGUGAGACCUACAAGUCGAACAGGGACGAAAGUCGGCCUUAGUGAUCCGACGGUUCUGUGUGGAAGGGCCGUCGCUCAACGGAUAAAAGUUACUCUCUCCCCCAAGAGUUCACAUCGACGGGGAGGUUUGGCACCUCGAUGUCGGCUCAUCGCAACCUGGGGCUGAAGCCGGUCCCAAGGGUUGGGCUGUUCGCCCAUUAAAGCGGUACGCGAGCUGGGUUCAGA
rnacentral:rRNA from 1 species